AAAAGGAAGAAGUCACCCCACUGAUCACCAGGGUUGGUUCAGCUGAUCUGGCUGGCUGGGCCGGUGUCCCCCUCCUCCCGCACCCAUCCAUGUGCGCCCUCCCGAAGCUGCACUUGCUCAGUAGAAGAGGACCACCUUCCCCCAGAGGAGAGGACCGGUAUCCGGUCAAGGGCAUAGGGGUAGCUGCACGCCCGGCUAGAACCUCCAAACAAGCUCUAAAAGGAAGAAGCAGGGUGGGAGUCGGGGACAGGUUGAGGGUCCCUGUGCCC
rfam:Myotis brandtii contig227350, whole genome shotgun sequence.